UACUUUCUUUGAUUAGUAAUUGAAACAACUGCUUCAAGCACUGUAGCAAGUUUACACACAUCUUUGUCAUCCACAGAAUCGAUAAAUAGGUUUGAGUUAUUUUUGUUUGUUUUUGUUAACUGUGUCCAAUAAUUGAGAAGUGCUAAUAUAUGUCCUAAAGAAGAAACAAGGCAGUAAGUUAUCAGAAACCUAACAUGCAAAUAAUUUUAAUCAGAAAUGUCAAUUCCUGGCAAGUGAUACCCAUGUGCAAGAUAUUUGUUCCACAUAAUAAACUGAUCUGAGGCAACACAGGGUGAAGUUUCUCCCUCACACAUUAGCACCUAGUUCUUAGAUCCUUAUCCCGUGUAUGAAUUUACAAAUGGUCCCGUAUGACUGUGCAGAGACUUCCUGAUAUAAACAUGACAGUAUCUGAAUGCAGCUGAAUAGCAAAGAUAUCUUCCUUCUGCUACCCUGCCUGAGAGAGUGGAGAGUGCAAACUAAUGAGAAGAAAGAGAUCAUGAAAAAUAAAAAUGUAAAUGAUUUGUAGAAAAAUAAGAGACUGUUCCAUAAAAUAUGAAGAUACUGUAGUUAUAAGGCAUUCAAUUUUAAUAUAUAUAUAUUUUUUAAUGUAAAGCAACCUUUGCAUUUUGAAAUCAUACCCUGAUUUUAUUGUAUGGGGGAAAGAAGACUUGCCAUCAACAAUCUAAUCUGUAAACAAUAAGGAAAAUAACUUCCAGAGUUAUCAAGAUAGGGAUAUGGAUGUGUGACUGUGUAUCGGGCAUUAAGAAUUGAAAUCUUUCAAUAUCUAGUUAAUAUUUGCUAAGUUUGGAUCAGUCUGUGCAAGGAGAACCUCACUGUCAUUCUAUUUACCUUAUUAUGGUUUAAGAAUUUUAAUUAUAAACAGCUAUCUGACUGUUACCUGACAUAUAAUAUUACUUCUUUAACUGCAAGUGAGGACAAAAGUAAUAAAAUUUAACUGCAAUACAGAAGAUCUUUUACAAAACUUCUGAAACUUACUUCUUGGCUGUUUUUCUUUUCUCUUAAAGAAACGGUCUCAUCUUCCAGACGUUUGAUCUCACUUUUAAGACGUCCAUGUUCUCUUUCAGCAAGGGCUUUAAAGUGUUGUUCAGUUUCAAUUUCAUUCUCUCUGGCUUUGUAAAGAGACUAGAGAAUAACAGAGUUUAGCAUUUUACAACAGACAACAGGCCCUCAUCACCAAUGAACCAAAAGAGAUGACGUGAUUUUGUCAUGUAAAUACAUUCAUCUGUAAAUAUUAUAUAUAUAUUUAUACGUGCGUUAUAUCAGAUAACCCCAGAUCAACCAUGUAUAGCCCCAGGAGCCUGAUUCAAAAAUAUUUCACCCAACUUUCAGGAUAUUGAUCUUCCAAAGUCUUAAUCUUAGUCUCUUAGAAUAAGUCUUAAUCUCACAGCAGCUUUAUGUAAGAUUCAGGAGGUAUAGGGAAUGAAAUGCUUUUAUUGUUCUGUGCUGAGAGAGACCACCAGGCUGGCCUACGGCAGUAUACUGUCUAAUCUUUCUGACAAAGUGAUUUGACAGGAUUUUUCUCAUACAUAAUACAAAUCUGUCACUUCCUGGAGGCUUCUCUUGCACGGUAUGUCCUGCCUCUUCUAAACUAAGGUUUAAUCUAAACUGUGUCCUUUUUGGCUUUUUUUCCAGGUACCAUCAUUUGAUCCAGGACGGUCUUUUUAUGGACCAUCAAAUGCCAUCACUGGGGGCCACAGUUAAAGUUGUGUUUCUUGUGAAAGUCCCAAAUGAAAGGCCAGAGGAACUCCUGCAAAGCUGCCACGCAGGCAGAGAUGCCAACCACAGACGGGCGCUCUGUCCACAGCUCUGCCUGAGGAUCAGCGACACACCCGUCGGGUGUAUCAGUUUACCUGGGUGAAGCUGAACUCCUGUCUCACGUUUUUCAAGUGAGAUGUCAUCGCUCCCAUUCGCUCUUCAAAGUCAGUCAGCUGAUUUUGCAGAAACCAAGUGAAAGGUUUAAACAUUUUUAACAAGCAGCAAAAGCGCCAGACCCAUUAAGUACUGCUUCUGCUCGAGGUAACCAGGAUUGCCCCAGACUCAGACGGCGGGCCGGCAUCCAGCACCGGCCAGCACCCAAACGUAUCCCAGGCGCUCCUGAGCUCCGCGGGCCGACCUGACAGAGCCUCCCGCGCACCCACCGCCGUGUGUGAACCUCAGCUCUGCCCCACAGCCACAGCCCCACAGCCGCAGCCCCGCGCUCACGUCUUCCUCCAGCGCCCUGUUCUCCGCGUUGGCCAUGGGCACGGCGUAGCCAUCGUCCCACUGGAGCUCGGCCAGCACCGAAGCGGUGGAGCGGCUGGCGGUGCUCUGCAUGGCCGCAGGUACGAGGGGAGGGCGGCCGAGUGCCUUAGCAACCGCGUGCCCCGGUAACCAAACGGGAAGUGCGGAGCCGGGAGCCGCCUCCCGCCCCGCCCGCCCGCCUCGCGGGAAGAGCGGCUGUGCGCGCGGCGCUCUUCGCGCCUCAGGGCUUGCGUUUCGCAGCGGACCGGCUUCUGUGUUUGUCUGAGAAGAAAGAAGUUUGUCUUCUGUGUGACGAGACCUCAAAAAUACAGCAGAUGGAUGUACCAAGACUGGUAACACAAUGGAAGAAACAAAAAUAGGAAGAGACUGAGGAAACAGCAGUGAAUGAAAAAACUUCACUUCUACAGAUCAGGCCUGUCCAGCAACGUUCAUUUCUACCUUCAGUCUGCUCAAAACAGCCACACAAAUGAAUAUUCCAUAGCUGAAAAUCUCCAUAUCAGUUAAAGGAAACAGAAAAGGCCAGAGCUUCACGGCAGCACGCUCAUAGGUGUUCCUGUGCUACAAAUAAAUUGUGUCCAUCUCCUGUUCUUUCUCGUGAAAUGCAGAUACUCUCAUCUCUUUACUCUUUUUUUGCUUUGGAGAUGCGUUAAUUGAAGAACACUUGCAGUCAAAAAAGAAAAAUGAGGCACAAAAUUCAAGAUAAAGUUAAUUGUACUUAGUAUUCUCAAAGGCUGUAUGCAGAAGAAGUGGAAAUGACAAGCAGAUCCUUUCCAUAUAUAUGUUUAGUAUCACUUUUUUUUAUAAACAGAGUAAAGGUAAAGCAAGGGCAAUGCCAUGGAAGGCCAGUGGCACUACAGUUGCUGGAAGAACUGAGCCCUGACCUCAGCCACAACUAUUCUUAGCACUGCUGUAGUCUCAAGUAAUUGCUAUUUCUUCAGUUCCCCACUUUCAUCUAUGAGUCCCUCAGUGCUUGAAUAUUUCUUCUUCUGACUUAAGAAAUUUUAUUAGAUGUAGGAUUUUCUUUUCUUCCUCAUUUUGGUAGUAUUGAGGGAGCUGGAACAGUUAUUACGUGUUUAUUUCUUAUCAGUUCUGUUUGUUUUUGGUGUUGUUGUUGUUGUUUUUUGUGGGAAGAAAUUGGCCUUCUUCCCACCAGCAUACACAGAGCCAGAAAAUGCCCCACAGUUGUCAUGGCAACAGCUUUUGAUGGAGAAUGGCACAAGGAAGUGUGGCAGGACCAUCCUCCAGAGAACCAAAGUCUUUUGUUGUUCAUCGUAUAAACGUGUGUGGUCCCUUUUCUUCAAAUGGUAUCAAUUUAUGCAUUAGGGAUGAUAAGUUAUACACAGUGCAACAUAAUGAGAUGGAGCUCAUGCUUCAGAUAAAAACAUUCUAAUAUUUUCUCAGGCAUAUACUUAUGGGCCCAAAGUGAUCUUCUCUUCAGUGUAUUUGUUCUGUUGUGUCCAUAUCCAUAGAAAAUAUUGGCAUAAAUCACGUUUUUAGUAUGUUGGGGCAGAAAGUGAGCUUGGCUUUCUUUAGUACAUAGAACUUUUAGCAGUUGGAACUUUCUGAUUAAUAUUUUUGAUGCUAUUCAAUACUGAAGAAGAAGGACUUCUUUGGGUCUAAGCUACCAACUGGGUUUCUAUGGUAGUAGUCUUCAAUGGGAGAUUUUGUUUCUCACUCUGUACAAACUUACUGAAAACAGUCAAACAGAUCCUCUGUAUCUCAUCUGAACCAACAGAACUAUGUUAAAUUGUAUCUGCUGAGGACAGUGGUCUGCAUGAAUUCAGUGUGGAAACCAUCACUGCUGGAGUGCUAGUAAUGAUCAGAAUCUAGUACAUCCAUUCUAUCACAAGGGCAGAACCCAAGCAAUUUUUUUAUGUAGUACUGUUGGAAUUUCUACUGCUUCAAUAGGCAAAAGUUAGGAUAUCUUACAUCUCUGUAAAACAGUCGGAAUGCUCAAAGCCUAUUUCCAUGGAUGCAUAAAACACGUUACAUUUCCCAUGAAACUAUCGAUAAUUUAAUAAUGUUUUUAUAGGGAGAUCAGGUGGUCUUGUUGCUGCACUCUUUGUUAUGAAAUGUUGCAGUCUUCAUGCAAUAGUUAGUUCAUAUUUCUAAAGUGCGUAUUUGCUGUCAUGUUUGCUAUAUGUACAGUAAAAUAUUAUAUAGUAUAAUAUUUUUUAAUUAUGAUCCUGUAGUUUUCUUUAAAAAUACACCAAUUUUUUAGAUACUGUAAGGCUAUAUUCAUAGUUGCAGUAAUCUGUUUAUUUUUUAAGAUUUAUUGGUAUUUAUUUAUAUUUAUAGGCAGCAAUACCUUGCACUUACAGCUAAUUUAAGGUAUUUUUUUCCCUGUUUUAUUUUCUUGUCUUCACUUGGCUAAAAAACAAAAACCAGCAGAAGAAAAAUCCUAACGUUUGCUUGUCAAAACAACUUCCAAACUAUUACAAGCUGUGAUAUGCCUAGAUUUUGGAGCUAUUUUAAUACUUAUUUCUAUUUCAUGUAGCCAACUGUGUUACUGGGGAGUAAGGUACACCUACAGAUACAAAAGACUGCCUAUGAUUUUAGACACCUUGAAGUACAUUUAACUAUGUUAAGUAUAUAUGAAGUAUCAGUCAUAUGCGUAAGAUUCUGAGCCUAGGAGUACAGAUGAAAGUAUAUACAAUCCCUUUAGAAAGCAGAAUAUGUGAAUUUGAAGUUGCAACAUAGACACUUGCAUGAAAUGAUCUCUCCUGACAUGUCAGCUGAAAUAUCAGAAAUCCUAUUUCUAAUCCCUUCCAUGUAAUAUGGCAUGGGGGACAGAGAUGCAUAUCAGUCAUAAAGAGCAACAGCACAGCCUUUCAGACAGGCUCAGCAGGCUGCCUGUAAUUCAGUCCCCCUGCUCCAGCCUCUCCACCCACUGGUUGAGUCUUGUUGCCCUUCUAACAGCUCGUGCACUCCUGACACAAUGGAGGGAGGGCAGGAGCAGUGUGGUGAAAAAUCAGGCGCUGCAGACAAACACUUGGCAGCCUGUCCUUCCCCAGUGUCACAGU